GGGCCAGUGGCGUAAUCCGGUAGCGCGCACCGCUGGCAGCGGUGAGAUUUCGGGUUCAAACAGAUGUCACGUCAAUGAUGUGAUUCCAGAAAGUCCCGACUGGUCCA
rnacentral:tRNA from 1 species